UACAAAGGGUGCAAACGUUGCUCGGAAUCAUUGGGCGUAAAGCGCACGUAGGCGGCUUCGCAAGUCGGAUGUGAAAUCCCUCGGCUCAACCGAGGACGUGCAUACGAAACUGCGGAGCUUGAGUGCUGAAGAGGAUCGCGGAAUUCCCGGUGUAGAGGUGAAAUUCGUAGAUAUCGGGAGGAACACCAGUGGCGAAGGCGGCGAUCUGGGCAGACACUGACGCUGAGGUGCGAAAGCGUGGGGAGCAAACAGG
rnacentral:rRNA from 1 species